rnacentral:lncRNA from 1 species
AAAUAUAGAUUUUCUCAUUCAUUACACACAAAACAUUUACAACAUUAGGUAGGUCCAAUAAAAUAGACUAUAUAUGAUAAAAAAAAUAUAUAACCUAAUUAUUAUUAUUAUUAUUAUUAUUAUUAUUGUCAAUCGAAAAUCCAUUGGGCAGCAGACCCCUCGGCCUUCGAAUCCCACGAAACACCCUUGCUCUCGUGGCGCCCAACUCUCACUCGAGUUCAUGUACCAGCCUUUCAAGUUCCUACAAGGUGUCAAGCAGAAUCGCCAUGUAGCAAAUCAGAUCAAUCAUAUCUAGAACAUGCAUGAACAAAUAACUUAAAACACUAAACCAUAUAUACUACCAACUGACAGUUUAACCAAAAAAAUGUGAAACUUAACUAGAAAAUAGAUGCAUGUUAAUAAUUUUCAUAUUAGAACAAGAAAAUAAAACAUACCUCAACGAACGAACAAGAAAUUUAUUUUUAAAAGAGAAAUGAUUAAAGAUGUAAUGACGGUUUUAUGAAAGACAAGAUGCAAGAGAUAGAGCUGAGGAGGCCUAUUUAUAAAAGAUUGAAUGAGUGAGUAGUGCAGUGUGUUAGGCAAAAAGUCAUGACCGUUUACCUCUUUUUUAACAAUUAAAUCAAACUUGGCGACUUUUCGAUUGUUUAAAUUAAAAAAAUAGAUUUAAAUACAGAAAAGGUGAAAAGUCAUAACUUUUCACCUUUUUAGUAUUUUAGUUGUUUAAAUUUAAAUAGCUACAAAAUUGUGUUUAUCAUAUUUUUUCAUAUUAUUUAUUUACGAAUCAUUUUUUAAAUUAAUUUAUUGAAAAUUCAUGACGCUUGAGUUCUUCCAACAGAUGAUCUAUUUGUUGCAACAUAUGGUCCAUCUGUUACAACAGAUGACCCUUCUGUUGCAACAUAUGACUCAUCUAUUGGAGCAAUUUAUUAGUUUUUGCAAUAUAUGGUUCAUUUAUUACAACAGAUUGUUCAUCUAUUGAAAAAUAAAUUAAUAGAGAGAUUUAUUCAAUAGAAACAAUAACAAAUCAUCAUUUAUCAAUACGCCAUGUUUACCAUGAGAUUAAUUGAAAUCGUAAUUGAACUUACUAAUUCAUCUUUAAUUUUAGUUAAAUCAAUAUAGUUAUUUCUAAUGAUGAUUUAGUUUGAAUCAUUUCAAAUAAAAUUAGUCAACUGAUCACUCUACUAAAGACAAACAUACUUAGCUGAUCGUGUAAUUACCAUGAGAUUAAUUAAAACCGUAAUUGAACUUAUUAAUUCAUAUUUUAUUUUAGUUAAAUCAAUUUAGUUAUUAAUAAUAAUGGCUUAAUUUGAAUCAAUAGAUGAUUAACAUGUUGCAAUAAAUAAGUAAUCUGUUGGAAAUGACCAAACAGUUAAAGACAUCCGUUGAAAAUGAUCAAAUAGAUAUAGACAUCUGUUGCAACAGAUGACUAACCUGUUGCAAUAACUAACUCAUCUAUUGACAAUUAUCAAACAGAUACAGACAUCUGUUGCAACAGAUGACUAAAUUAUUGUAACAUAUGACUCAUCUGUUGAAAAUUAUUAAAUAGACAAGAUAUAUGUUGAAAAGUAAUUUAAAAUACUAAAUCUCAAAUGUUUUCAGGAGAACUCAAACAUUUGUCUUUUUGUCUAAGGUCUUAUAUUAAAGACUUGUCUUCAAUUUUAAUUAAAUCAAUUUAGUUAUUAUUAAGAAUUGCUCAAUUUGAAUCAACAAAUGACUAACCUUUUAUAAAUAUCUAUUGCAACAGAUGACUAACUUGUUGCAAUAAAUAGGUCAUCUGUUGGAAAAUAAUUAAAAUACUAGAGAACUCAAAUAUUUUAGGAGAACUCAAAUAUUUGUCCCAUUGUCUUAAAGACGUCUUUAAUUUUAGCUAAAUCAAUUUAGUUAUUAUUAAUAAUUGCUUAAUUUAGAUCAACAGAUGACUAAUAUAUUGCAACAGAUGAUUCAUCUGUUGAAAAUUAUUAAACAGAUAGAAAAUCUGUUAUAACAGAUGGGUCAUCUAUUAGAAAACAAUUAAAAUAAUAGUAAACUUAAAUGUUUUUAGGAGAACUCAAAUAUUGGUCCCCUUGAUUAUUUUGCAUUUGAUGUAUGAUAUAUUAUUUGUCUUCUUUACCUGUUUCAUGAAAUUUUUCAUGUGUUUUACUUAUUCGUUGUGCUCCUGUUGAAAAUUUUUGGAAUUUUUUAGGUCAAAUUUUGUUCGUAUAUCACUUGGAGAUUACUUCAUAGGUGAUUUUGUAAGUAAAAUUAUGAUUUUUGUUAAAUUUCUUAUUUGGUGUAUCUGCUACUGCUACAAUGGAUAAAACCUGCAAUAUGAAUCCAAUAUAUGAGCCAUCUGUUGCAACAAGUGAGUAAUCUAUUGCAACACAUGACUAAUCUGUUGCAACAAAUGACCCAUAUUCAUGUUACAACGCUAUAGUAUGAAUCCAACAGAUGAGUAAUCUGUUGCAAUAUAUGACGCAUUUGUUGCAACAGAUUACCCACAUGUUGUUGCAACAUAUGACUCAUCUGUUGCAAUAGAUUAGUCAUAUAUGUUACAACAGAUUACUUAUCUGUUGCAACAGAUUAGUCAUAUAUGUUAUAACAGAUUACUCAUCUGUUGGAUUCACGUUACAUGUUUAAUCCAUUGUUGAAAAAAAAGUAGUAGCAGAUACACCCGGAUGAGAAAUUCGAUUAAAAAUUAUAAUUUUACUUACUAAAAUCACCUAAGUAACACACUAAGAACAUCAAUAUUUACCAACUUCAAUAUUGUACAAACACAAAUAAUAAAAAACAUAAAAAAAAAAAUAACAAACACCAACAAAUCAACAGUUGUUUGUUAGAUUUGGUCACAAAGAUGUCUCUGAAAAAAUUAAAAUUCAACUCUUGCUAUUUUUACAAUAAUGUUCGACAACAAGAACUAUAAUAACAAUAAAAAAUAUAUUUCACUCCGAAAAAAGAAGAAAAAAAUACCAUAAAUUAGGAUAUUCUUGAGUCCCCAUUGUAAAUUUUAGCAAUAAAUAUUGAAAUUGUUAAUUUAUACUAAAAGAGAAGUUAACUCAAGUUCCUCGUUUUCUUCAUAACUAAAAAGUCUUAAUUUUUUACAUAUGAAAAUCGAAAAGAAACGAUGAAGAACUCGAAUUUGUUGUCGCCGGAGAAUGUUGUCACGUCGACUGACGGUUGAAAGUAAAAAAGAAAUGGGCAAGAACUCAAAACUAUUUGUCACCAGAGAUUGAAGUUGCAUAAAAUUGAAGGAAGAAAUUUGCAAAGUUGUUGGUUGGAAAAAGUUAGAGAGAAACUAUUUAGAGAAAGAGAGAAGAAAGAUCGAUUUGCAAAGAGAGAAAAGUUUUGUGGGUGUGGGUUGAUUUGUAUUUUUGAAAAGGUUAGAUAGUUUGAAAAAUAUUAAUUAAGUCCACAAUUAAUCUAAUCAAGUUUCUUAAUUAUGUUUGACCCUUUAAAAUGGUCAAUGUCAUCAAUCCUUCAUUCAAGACUUAAAUGACACCUUUUCUUCAAUUUUCUCAUGUUACAUUUGUAUCAAAUGAUAUAUGUUUAUACAAUUUGAACCGUACGCAUACAAAUGAUAAUUGUUUAUAUAUAGAUACAAAUGAUAAAUUUGGCAUGCAAAUACUAAUGAUAUGUUUGCACUGAAUAACACAUUGUAUAUUUGUAAAUUAAGACUCAAGAAAAUACAAUUAAUUCAUAUAUUUGUUUAUAUAUAAAUACAAAGAAUAAAUUGUACCUAUUAAUAACUAAAUUAUUCAAAUAUAAAUAAUAAAUUUAUUUAAAAUAUAUAGUAUGAUAUAAAUAAAUAUAAAAUAUAAAAAAUAUAAAAAAAUAUAUCAAAAAAUAAAAUACAACAACAACAACAAAAAAGAGAGAAAAAAGAAGAAAAAACAAAAAAUGACCAAAAAGAAAAACGAAACAAGAAAAAAAAAAGACAAAAAAGAUAAUAUAAAAAAAGACUCCAAAGAAAAAAUAAAAAAAAAUAAAAAAAUAAAAAAAGAUAAAAAAACAGAAAAGAAAAAAGAAACAUAUAAAAAAAAAUGAGAAAAAAAUAAAAAGGAAAAAAGAAACGAAAAAAAAAAAAGAAAAAGGAAAAGAAUGGAAAGGAAAGAAAAAGAAAAAAAAAAACAUAAAGAGAAAUAGAAGAUAUAGGAAGAGGGAAAGAACGAAAGGGGGAUAUGGAUUAUAUUUAAUCGGCAAAAGAGGCUAUUGAUUGUAAUUAAUUAAAAUUUAAGCUAAAUAAAAUAGCUAAGAAUUUAUGUUUGAUAAGUCAUGUAGUUAUCCCUUCUAACAAUGGUAGAAAAUAUAAACAAACCCCAUAAAAAAGACUCCGAAACUUGAAAAAAGAAAAAAAAAAUUAAGAACCCCUAAAUAAAAUUUUAAAACAAAAAAACCCAUUGAUUUCAUGGAGUUUGUCUUUUUAAUUUGAUAGGAAAAAGUUCACGUGCUAUAAUUGUAAAUUGAAUACCGGCGUUUAAUUGUAUUGCUCCUCUCUUAAUUGCAUCAAUAAAUAUUAAAAUUUCCUUCAUAAUUUAAAUAAGAAAAACUAAUCAUAAAAGUUUCAAUUGAUCUGAAAGUCCUUGAUAUCAUUAUUAAUAAUUUAAUAAUUAUUAUUUAAGAAAUAGUAAAUGACGAUUUUGUAUAUUGCAGAGUGUUUUAAAGAAUGAUACACUUUAUAGAUUAUAGAUUAUAAAUAAAUAAAUAUAGAUAUAAAUUAUAGAUUAUAAAAAUAGAUAUGACAUAUAGAUUGAAACAAAUUUCAUUUUAUUUUUAAAAAAAAUUCAAAAGUCCACUUAUCUGCUUUUACAAUAAUCUCAGAAUUAUCAUGAGGUGCUACACCAAACAGAUCAAAUGCGGGCUCAUGAAAAUUUGAAAAUUUUUAAAAAUUCAGGUCACUCCAUCGAGAAAAGAAGAAAAGGGUUAAACAUUCAUGAGUACUUGGGUGACUUGAGUGGAGUAAUGUUUUUCUUUGAUUACUCAAUUAAUGUAUUAGGGUCAAGUUGUUGGGUCCUUCUCUAGUUGAGAAAUCCGGUUCAAAAGACAACAAUUAAUGUUUCAUGAAAAAAAGAUUACACUCAUUUAUCAAUCUUUGAAUCGAUUCUUUCAGCAUUAACUGAAAUAAAUUUUAUUUUGUUCAAAAAACUAUUUCUCUCUAGAUGUUCACUUAUCUACUUGUGCAACAAUCUCAAAAUUAUCAUGAGGUGCUUCACCGAAUAGAUCAAAUGUCAAAUGUGUGUUGAUAAGAGUUUGAACUUUCUACAAACUCAGGCCACUGCGUUGAGAAAGGUAGAAAAGGGCUAACAUAUAGGGUAUUCGUGAGUACUAGGGUGACUUGGAGUGGAGUAAUAUUUUUCUUUGAUCACUCAAUUAAUGUAUUACAGGCAAGUUGUUGUUUUCUUUUAUAGUUGAGAAAUUUGAUUUAAAAGAUGAAAAUUACGUUUCAUGAGAGAAGAUUACACUCACUUAUCUGUUUUUGAAUCGAUUUUUUUAGCAUUAAUUGAAACAAAUUUUAUUUGAUUAAAAAAAUUAUUUCUCUUUAAGAAUCUGUGUGCAGUAAUCUCAAAAUUGUCAUGAGGUGCUGCACCAAAUGUGGGUUUAUGAAAGUUUGAACUUUCUAGAAAUCCAGUCCACUCCAUUAAGAAAAGAAGAAAAGAGCUAAUACAUAUGGUAUUCGUGAUUACUUGGGUGACUUAUAGUGGAGUAAUGCUCUCUUUGAUCACACAAUUAUUGUGUAAGAGUCAAGUUGUUGUGUCCUUUUAUAGUUGAGAAAUUUAAUUUAAAAUACUGACAAUUAAUAUUUCAUGGAUAGAAGAUUAGGCCACUCAAUUGAGAAAAGAAGAAAAGGACUAACAUAUAUGGUAUUCGUAAGUACUUAGAUAACUUAGAGUGGAAUAAUGUUUUUCUUUGAUCACUCAAUUGAUGUAUUAGAGUUAACUUAUUAUGUCUUUUUAUAGUUGAGAAAUUUGAUUCAAAAAAUAAUAAUUAAUGUUUCAUGGAGAAAAAAAUUAUAUUUAUCAAUAUUUGAAUCAAUUCUUUUAGCAUUAGUUGAGACGAAUUUCAAUUUGUUCAAAGAUUGUUUCUUUUCAAGAGUCUACUUAUCUACUUGUGUAAUAAUCGCAGAAUUAUCAUGAGAUGCUACAUUGAACGGAUCAAAUGUGGGUUACUUAGAAUUUGAAUAGAUCAAAUCUAAGGUCACCUUCUCCCAAAAUUGCAACAGAGAGGAUAAAGACCUUUUGGCCAAUCUUUUUUCUAUCAAAGCCAAGGACACCUUUGAAAAGUACCUUGACUUUCCCAUAUUCCAUAAAAAAACCACAAAUAGAGAUUUUUGAUUCAUCUCGGAUAACCUCAAUACUAAGUUAGGUGGAUGAAAGAACAAAUUCCUCAACAUGAUUGGGAGAAUCAAUCUAGCAAAAGCUUCUCUCAAUAGCAUUCGUAUCAACAGUAUAUUACCAUCCCCAAAAAGAUCCAAAAAACUCAUUGAUAGAACUCAAAAGAAUUUCAUUGAGGGUUCCACUAAUGAGAAAAAAAAAAAUGCACUUGAUAGGCUGGAACACAUUAACCCUUCCCAAAGGAGAUGGGGGCAUCGGCAUCAGAGAAGCUCCAUCAAAAAAUGAGACCAUGCUUACAAGUCUAGUCUGGAGAUUUGUUAACAAUCCUAAUAAAUUUUGGACCCGUCUUGAAAGUGAAAUACAACAAAGAAGGAAUGCAAUGUACCUCUAUUGCCUUAAGAACUUGAAAAGGAUUUUUAAAGAACAACUGUAAAGAGGCUUACAUUGAAUUAUCCACAAUGGCCAAGAGGUUGAUUUCUGGCUUGAAAGAUGGAUUCCAAAUCAACCUCCACUCAGAGACAUGAUCCAAGGCCCCUCCAUCACCUUGAGGAAGACACCAAACUCUGCACAGUGUGGCAUAACAAUGUUUGGAACUUUGACACCCUCUCCAUGGAGAUUCUUCUAGACAUAAGACAGCACAUCACCAGCUCUUUCUUUCCUAACCUUGAGGUCCAUACGGACACCCUCAUGUGGAGGCUUCAUGGCAAUGAGCUAUUUUCCAGUGUCACUACUUACCACUUUUUAGCCAACAAGAUGAAAGAGAGUCUGACAAUAUGGAGAAAAACUUUGAAUCGAUUUGAAAAAUCCCUACACCCAACAAAAUCAACUUCUUUUUUUGACUACUCCACUGUAUCAGGCUUCCAAAGCAACUCCACUCUCUCUAAUAUGGGAAUAAGCAUCAAUCAAUGUCCUAUUUAUAACUUUUCACACUAAGGACACCACCCACAUUUUCUUUGACUGCCCCUGUACUCAUGAUUUUUGGAGUGACCUCAUCGCAAAACUAACUAAAUGGAGUCAUCAGAAACCAUAAUGGUGACCAGAUCAUUAGUUCCAACAAGAGUUACCUCAAUAUUAUCAAUAACUAGAUGGAGCUCAUGACUCUCAAUGAGGGGCUUAGAAUUGUUGAAUCUCAUAACCUUCUUCUCAUAGAGAUUAGCAUUGAUUCUCAAAAGGUUAUAAUAAU